UCUAACCACUAAGCCCCUUGUCAGGUUAUUUCUACUAGUGAUAAGGAGCAAUCAACCUUGAAACAUUGAAGCCAGGUAGAUGAGCCUAUUCCACAAGGUCUCUUGGCUCCACCCUUGUUAAGUGAAAUCUGCCAGGUGUGGGUCAUUUGACCUUUGCUAUAUAGGAAGCAUGAGGAGCUGGGAGGGGGGAAAUUGCCUCUCCUGGGGGAGUCUGAGACUUGGGUUGUCUAGGGUGCUUUUCUCUUGUGGUGAAAUGGGCUCAGUGCUCCCCAGGAGGCUGCUUUUUCUUCACGUUUUCUACCAUCUCUGUGAAAUAGUUUUAGAGACUCUAUGAGCUAGUUACAUUGGUGGUGCCUUCUCAGUAUAGCAGAAGCCUGGUGGUACUACUUCUCUGCGAAGCAGUUUGGAAGUGACUCAAGUUCAGAAGCCAGCAUAAAUAUUCAUACUUGAUGUG